GGGGAGUACGGCCGCAAGGUUAAAACUCAAAUGAAUUGACGGGGGCCCGCACAAGCGGUGGAGCAUGUGGUUUAAUUCGAUGCAACGCGAAGAACCUUACCUGGCCUUGACAUCCAGAGAACUUAGCAGAGAUGCUUUGGUGCCUUCGGGAACUCUGAGACAGGUGCUGCAUGGCUGUCGUCAGCUCGUGUUGUGAAAUGUUGGGUUAAGUCCCGCAACGAGCGCAACCCUUAUCCUUUGUUGCCAGCGGCUCGGCCGGGAACUCAAAGGAGACUGCCGGUGAUAAACCGGAGGAAGGUGGGGAUGACGUCAAGUCAUCAUGGCCCUUACGGCCAGGGCUACACACGUGCUACAAUGGCGCAUACAAAGAGAAGCGACCUCGCGAGAGCAAGCGGACCUCAUAAAGUGCGUCGUAGUCCGGAUUGGAGUCUGCAACUCGACUCCAUGAAGUCGGAAUCGCUAGUAAUCGUAGAUCAGAAUGCUACGGUGAAUACGUUCCCGGGCCUUGUACACACCGCCCGUCACACCAUGGGAGUGGGUUGCAAAAGAAGUAGUUAGCUUAACCUUCGGGAGGGCGC
rnacentral:rRNA from 1 species